rnacentral:rRNA from 1 species
ACGGAAGGCAGCAGUGGGGAAUAUUUGGCAAUGGGCGCAACCCUGACCCAGCAACGCCGCGUGAAGGAAGAAGGCUUUCGGGUUGUAAACUUCUUUGACGAGGGACAAAAAAAAUGACGGUACCUCGAAAACAAGCCACGGCUAACUACGUGCCAGCAGCCGCGGUAAUACGUAGGUGGCGAGCGUUGUCCGGAUUUACUGGGUGUAAAGGGCGCGUAGGUGGGUGUGCAAGUCAGAUGUGAAAUACCAGGGCUUAACUCUUGGGCUGCAUUUGAAACUGUGCAUCUUGAGUAUCGGAGGGGCAAACGGAAUUCCUAGUGUAGCGGUGAAAUGCGUAGAUAUUAGGAGGAGCACCAGUGGCGAAGGCGGCUUGCUGGACGACAACUGACACUGAGGCGCGAAAGCGUGGGGAGCAAACAGGAUUAGAUACCCUGGUA